UACAGAGGUCUCAAGCGUUGUUCGGAUUCAUUGGGCGUAAAGGGUGCGUAGGCGGCGCGGUAAGUCGGGUGUGAAAUCUUGGAGCUUAACUCCGAAACUGCAUUCGAUACUGCCGUGCUUGAGGACUGGAGAGGAGACUGGAAUUUACGGUGUAGCGGUGAAAUGCGUAGAUAUCGUAAGGAAGACCAACGGCGAAAGCACUCUGCUGGGCCGACACUGACACUGAGAGACGAAAGCUAGGGGAGCAAAUGGG
rnacentral:rRNA from 1 species